UACGGAGGGGGCUAGCGUUAUUCGGAAUUACUGGGCGUAAAGCGCACGUAGGCGGAUUAGAAAGUCAGAGGUGAAAUCCCAGGGCUCAACCUUGGAACUGCCUUUGAAACUUCUAGUCUUGAGAUCGAGAGAGGUGAGUGGAAUUCCGAGUGUAGAGGUGAAAUUCGUAGAUAUUCGGAGGAACACCAGUGGCGAAGGCGGCUCACUGGCUCGAUACUGACGCUGAGGUGCGAAAGCGUGGGGAGCAAACGGG
rnacentral:rRNA from 1 species